rnacentral:rRNA from 1 species
UACGUAGGUGGCAAGCGUUGUCCGGAUCUACUGGGCGUAAAGAGCGCGCAGGCGGCUGGUCAAGUCCGAUGUGAAAUCUCCCGGCUUAACUGGGAAACUGCAUCGGAAACUGAUCGGCUUGAAGGUGGGAGAGGGUAGUGGAAUUCCCGGUGUAGUGGUGAAAUGCGUAGAUAUCGGGAGGAACACCAGUGGCGAAGGCGACUACCUGGCCCAUUCUUGACGCUGAGGCGCGAAAGCUAGGGGAGCGAACGGG